UACAGAGGGUGCAAGCGUUAAUCGGAAUUACUGGGCGUAAAGCGUGCGUAGGUGGUUCUUUAAGUCAGGUGUGAAAUCCCUGGGCUCAACCUGGGAACUGCAUUUGAUACUGAAGAGCUAGAGUGUGGUAGAGGAUAGUGGAAUUCCCGGUGUAGCGGUGAAAUGCGUAGAUAUCGGGAGGAACAUCAGUGGCGAAGGCGGCUAUCUGGACCAACACUGACACUGAGGUACGAAAGCGUGGGUAGCAAACAGG
rnacentral:rRNA from 1 species